AACGAACGCUGGCGGCAGGCUUAACACAUGCAAGUCGAACGAAGUCUUCGGACUUAGUGGCGCACGGGUGAGUAACACGUGGGAAUAUACCUCUUGGUGGGGAAUAACAUCGGGAAACUGAUGCUAAUACCGCAUACGCCCUUCGGGGAAGAUUUAUCGCCGAGAGAUUAGCCCGCGUCCGAUUAGCUAGUUGGUGAGGUAAUGGCUCACCAAGGCGACGAUCGGUAGCUGGUCUGAGAGGAUGAUCAGCCACACUGGGACUGAGACACGGCCCAGACUCCUACGGGAGGCAGCAGUGGGGAAUAUUGGACAAUGGGCGAAAGCCUGAUCCAGCCAUGCCGCGUGAGUGAUGAAGGCCUUAGGGUUGUAAAGCUCUUUCACCCACGACGAUGAUGACGGUAGUGGGAGAAGAAGCCCGGCUAACUUCGUGCCAGCAGCCGCGGUAAU
rnacentral:rRNA from 1 species